rnacentral:rRNA from 1 species
UACGUAGGGUGCGAGCGUUAAUCGGAAUUACUGGGCGUAAAGCGUGCGUAGGCGGUUCGUUAAGUUCGUUGUGAAAGCCCCGGGCUCAACCUGGGAAUGGCAAUGGAAACUGGCGGGCUGGAGUAUGGCAGAGGGGGGUGGAAUUCCGCGUGUAGCAGUGAAAUGCGUAGAGAUGCGGAGGAACACCGAUGGCGAAGGCAGCCCCCUGGGCCAAUACUGACGCUCAGGCACGAAAGCGUGGGGAGCAAACGGG